UUGGUUAAGUUAGAAAGGGCGCACGGUGGAUGCCUUGGCACUAGGAGCCGAAGAAGGACGGGACUAACACCGAUAUGCUUUGGGGAGCUGUACGUAAGCGUUGAUCCAGAGAUUUCCGAAUGGGGGAACCCACUAUCUUUAGUCGGAUAGUAUCCUUACGUGAAUACAUAGCGUGAGGAAGGCAGACCCAGGGAACUGAAACAUCUAAGUACCUGGAGGAAGAGAAAGAAAAAUCGAUUUCCUGAGUAGCGGCGAGCGAAACGGAAAGAGCCCAAACCAAGAAGCUUGCUUCUUGGGGUUGUAGGACACUCUAUACGGAGUUACAAAAGAAAGUUAUAAAUGAAGCGGUCUGGAAAGGCCCGCCAAAGACGGUAACAGCCCGGUAGUUGAAAUGGCUUUCCCUCCAGAGUGGAUCCUGAGUACGGCGGAACACGUGAAAUUCCGUCGGAAUCCGGGAGGACCAUCUCCCAAGGCUAAAUACUCCCUAGUGACCGAUAGUGAACCAGUACCGUGAGGGAAAGGUGAAAAGCACCCCGGAAGGGGAGUGAAACAGUUCCUGAAACCGUGUGCCUACAAGUAGUUAGAGCCCGUUAAUGGGUGAUAGCGUGCCUUUUGUAGAAUGAACCGGCGAGUUACGAUUUGUUGCAAGGUUAAGCGGAAAAAGCGGAGCCGUAGCGAAAGCGAGUCUGAAUAGGGCGCAUAAGUAACAGGUCGUAGACCCGAAACCAGGUGAUCUACCCAUGUCCAGGAUGAAGGUAAGGUAAUACUUACUGGAGGUCCGAACCCACGCACGUUGAAAAGUGCGGGGAUGAGGUGUGGGUAGCGGAGAAAUUCCAAUCGAACUUGGAGAUAGCUGGUUCUCUCCGAAAUAGCUUUAGGGCUAGCCUCGA
rnacentral:rRNA from 1 species